AUUACUAUUAACCACAUGCUUCAUAUGCAGGUUUUGGAUUUGCGCCAUUUUGAGACUGGCGAGUAUGCAUUGUUAGCUUGGGUGGGAAUCCCAACUGCACCUGCAUGGCUUCCAACAUACAUGCUAAUAAAGUCAGAAAAGCUUAAUUAUGAACGCGUGUGAGAGGCUUCAUCAAUUGGAUUGUGCUGCAUUGAAGGAACUCUUAUGCUUAUCAAAUGAUAAAUCUUGCCCUUAACAUAUGUAAAAAAUUUGUUCUAUACAACAGGGGUUUGCUUAGCUAUUAGUUUUGAAAAGUUUACCUUUUGUUUAUGAUACUCAGGUGCUGGAAAAUAUUUUAUAAGGUAAAACUUAUAUAUUAAUGUGUACUAGUAUAACGGAUUCAUCAUUCAUACUAAGUGAAAGAAGUUGAUUAUGCAGUUCGUAAAUAGAGAUAACCAUUAAACUA